rnacentral:lncRNA from 1 species
AGGAUCUGCUUGUGACGAUCUGGGAUCCAGUACAGCCGCAAGGACGAUUGUUGCAGGGCAAGCAUUGCCCUCGCUUCCCAGAUCGUCCAACAAAGGAGCCAUUGACACCAUGGAAGGUGUCUGUCAUGCGAACCUGCUACAAGCGCCGCUUGGAGAAACAAGGAUUCCCCGAGAGUGUGGUUCAGACGCUCAUGAAGCGCAUGAACUACUACGUCGGGGAGAAAAUUGCCGACAUUGAUAAGAUGGCAAACAGG